rnacentral:rRNA from 1 species
CGGCGACGCCGAGCGGAACCCGAAAGCCGUUCUCAGUUCGGAUCGGAGUCUGCAACCCGACUCCGUGAAGCUGGAUUCGCUAGUAAUCGCGCAUCAGCCAUGGCGCGGUGAAUACGUUCCCGGGCCUUGUACACACCGCCCGUCAAGCCAUGGGAGCCGGGGGUGCUUGAAGUGCGUCGCCGCGAGGCGCGCCCUAGAGCAAAACCGGUGACUGGGGCUAAGUCGUAACAAGGUAAC